ensembl:snRNA U6 U6 spliceosomal RNA
GUACUCUCUUCGGCAGCACAUAUGCUAAAAAAUGGAAUGAUACAGAGAAGAUUAGCAUGGACCCUAUGCAAAUAUGACAUGCAAAUCUGUGAAGCCUUCCAUAUAAAA